rfam:Hepatitis C virus isolate NK46, complete genome
CAAUCGUGUAGGAGCCUGUCUCAGGAAACUUGGGGCACCUCCAUUGA